UGGGCGAAAGCCUGAUCCAGCAAUGCCGCGUGAGUGAUGAAGGCCUUAGGGUUGUAAAGCUCUUUUACCCGGGAUGAUAAUGACAGUACCGGGAGAAUAAGCUCCGGCUAACUCCGUGCCAGCAGCCGCGGUAAUACGGAGGGAGCUAGCGUUGUUCGGAAUUACUGGGCGUAAAGCGUACGUAGGCGGUUAUUCAAGUCAGAGGUGAAAGCCCGGGGCUCAACCCCGGAACUGCCUUUGAAACUAGAUAGCUAGAAUCUUGGAGAGGUCAGUGGAAUUCCGAGUGUAGAGGUGAAAUUCGUAGAUAUUCGGAAGAACACCAGUGGCGAAGGCGACUGACUGGACAAGUAUUGACGCUGAGGUACGAAAGCGUGGGGAGCAAACAGGAUUAGAUACCCUGGUAGUCCACGCCGUAAACGAUGAUAACUAGCUGUCCGGGCACUUGGUGCCUGGGUGGCGCAGCUAACGCAUUAAGUUAUCCGCCUGGGGAGUACGGUCGCAAGAUUA
rnacentral:rRNA from 1 species